CCCAUCACUAUUCAUUCAAAUAAAAAUCAAUCAUAAAAAAACGAAAUUGUACGGCAGAAUCCGGUUAAAAAUGUACUGAAAGCAGGUACAUAAAAUGCAUUCAUUUCAUGCCCAUCCGUUACAGUUGAAGUAGCUGUUGUCAAUAUUUUGUCAACCCAUUCUACAAUGGAUUUUACUUUACUACCAUCGGACUCAUUUCUGACAUAAUCGCAGAGAUCGUCAACCGGCCGGAGAUGUUCACUGUCUGUGGUAGUGUCGGAUCCAAACUUUCUCAUGGCGAUACCUGUUUUUGACAUUAAAGUUUCAAGAUUGUUUCUGAUUUCUAGGACACUGUUUGUGGAUGAAACUUCUUAAUCAGUCUUGUUGUGCUUGCUUGAAAUUUUUACAGUGGAAUCCAAGUAUUUUUGACCUGCAACUGCAAAUGUGUAAGUCAACAAUUUCUUGAAAUAUUCCACGUCUGAUGCUUGUAUCAUGAGUGCAGCACAUCUGAGGAAAAAUUGUUUAACUUCAAUGUGUGCAAUGGCUCUCCAGCAUUUCCAGUUCGAAACAGCAUGUAGUAUACGUGCAACAUCAACACGUAGGUAAGUAGGGAAAUUGAUUGGUUCGUUCGCUAUUAAUUUUUCAAAACAUUUCUGAAUAUAAUUUUUCAGUGACGUCUCGUUAAAUUCCCUGCACAUUCCAUAGAGAAGAGCUUUUGAAUAAUCGCAUAUCGCUAUUUUUGGUUUUGGGGCACCCGUUCGUAUGAAAAGAUGAAUCCACGUCAUUAUCGAAUGUCCAUCAUGCCUUUCCGACAGCAUCUGAUGAACUGUAUUCCUUAUAUGCGUGAAGCUGAGAUGGAGUGCGAUAAACGACUAUAAAAGGAAAUGAUCCGAUGAGUUCAAUUUUUCCCAUGAAUUCUGGCUGCUCUGAUAUGGCUUCAAUCGAAGCAUUGAGAUCUUUUUUUUUCAGUGAGUCAAGUCCCAAAUUUUUGUCAACACCCUGCUUUUUUGCUUGACGCAGCACUGUUAUAUUUGGAAGGUACGGCGGCUCGUUAUCUCCAAGAACCAUCUCUUCGCGCGCCUUGCGUUUGCGAAAAUUUGAUGAACCCUCAUGUAUCAAAUUUUUUUGAACAUCUUCUCUAUAUUUCCCAUUCAGUGGACACUUCACAACCUCAUGGGUAGCAUCAUUCCGCGUAUCUCGGGUUAAAAAUUCGAGCUUAACACUGUUGUCAUCGGCUGGUUUCUCUUUGAUGUAAGCUUUGAUCUUAUUUCUACACGAUUUUGAUUUACAUCGACCCCAAAUUGUGACAAAAUUAGUCAUACAGCUUGUAGCUUUUGAAACCUUGGAACGUUUAAAAACGUAUGCACAUGGGAUUUUCGUUUGACGUGAAAUAGCAAUCGGUAUGACAUUAUUCCAGACUCCUUUCUGCAGCGUAGGUUUUUGACUUCCAAAAGGGAGAACUGAAAUGAUUAAUCAAUAUUGAAUUAUUGUAAUGACAAUAUUUUUGUAUUAUGACUUAAUUUCAAUCUGACAUUGCAAUCUCAUUGAUACAUAUUCAAGUAUUUUUUUUUUCUCUUCCAGAUUUUAUUCUGGGUGAAAAUUUCUAAAAUAUUAGUGCUAUUGCCUAGAAAUUCAAGAUUCAAAAUUUGAAAACCCUAAAAUGAAAACGCGCUGUCUGUGAAACUUAUUUUGUUACGAGUUCAUUAUACUUCACAAUUUUUAUUAUACACUAAGUUAAAUUUCAACAAAAAGGCGCCUAAAAUACGGAAUUUCCUAUAAAUUGGUAUAUAAAGAAAAUUAUUUAAAAUAUUUCACGUAAUGAAACAUGGUUUAAUCAUUUAGUCAAAUAUCAUCUGCCAUAUAUAAGUGAAAUUUUGGUUCAAUAACAUUUAUCAUGCCUAUUUGAAAAGUUCUUGCGCUUUCCAGUUGACAUUUAUAAAUAAAUUUUACUUUUAGAAAAGUUACAAUUGUCAGAUCUCAAAAAAUAAAACAUCUUCAAAACAUUAAAAAAUUUUGUAAAAUUUAGUAUUAUCAUAAUAUCAUAUUCCCUUAACUGAAAGGAAAAAUGUUCAAUACGUACUCUUUGGAGGACUUAUUGCAUCCCAUUCUUCAUUUGAGAGCUGCACUGUGAAUAAUUGUUGACCUUUUUCCGGUGCAUUUCUCUGAUCGACGUACGACUCGUCGUCGCAUCCGGACGUUGUAGAUUCGCUUGCACUCGUGGCAGAUUUUGUGUCCGUUUCAUCUUUGGGCAAUGGAAUAUUAAUACCUUUUUCCUUUCGUGCAAGAGAGAGGAUAUUCCGGCGAUCCUGAACUACGUUGUUAUAAACGUUAUGUGAUUUCCACCUGUUAUUAAGAUCUUUACUAAUUUCUUCCCAUACUUUGUCCGAAUACUUCGGCAGUUCCGAUGUAUUAAAGUAAGAAAUAAACUUCUUUAAACUUUGCACGGCUUCUUCCACAGGCACAAGAACCUCUCGUGGCAUUACGAAUUAAAAAUACACUACGCGCGUAUAAAAACAGAAACUUUUGAUGAACACCAUGGAUUAAAAAGAGUUUAAAAACAUGAGCACCGGACAAUCAUGAAUUCGAAACACCAAAAAAAUAUGAUAGGAAAUAAGAAAAUUAUUGUUGAAUACGGGAAGCAACACGAAAAAAAAACUAAAAAUAAAAAAGUAGAACGAAAUAGAAACAACUAUCGAUGCUCACGGUUUCGCGCGUGGAACAAUAAUGAUCGCGCGCUUUCAUUUGGCGAUGGCAUUGGUACAGCGCACCAUACAAUGUAUCAUCGACAAAACAUCGAAAAUGGUCUGUAAGAAACAAUGUUUUGGAUGUUACACUCAAGUAAAUAAAAAAUCCAUCGGAUGCUGUA